rnacentral:misc_RNA from 1 species
UAAUAAGUGUUUUAUUGGCACUUUUUUAAAUCCAUAUCCACCUUGUGUGCAAUGUCAGUCGAUCUUCUUCAUGGAGAUCGACCGAACAUCAACCUUUAUCUUUUAACUCUUUGUCUGAAAAAUAUUAUGAAUAAAACAAUUCAAAAUA